AUGCUAGGUAGCUCAGUGUCAGUGAUGAGGGUGGAUGCGAUGGAUAGCAUGCUAGGUAGGCUCAGUGUCAAUGAUGAGGGUGGAUGGAUGGAUAGCAUGCUAGGUA